ensembl:snoRNA U3 Small nucleolar RNA U3
AAGACUGUACUUCCCCGAGAUAAUUUCAAUAGAUUGUUACUUUGAGAGAAAUACCUCCCGAAGAUGUUUGGUCUCACUAUCCAUGAGUAGGAUCAGUAGUGUCCCCUUCUGUACAAGAAGCAAUUUGGGGAUGUUUCUUCAAUGCAGCUGUUCCUGAUAGUUGAUUACUGUUUCUCUCCCUCUAGCAGGCAGUGUAAGAAGUGGACGCAUUCUGAGUGGG